AACCCUUGUCCUUAGUUACCAGCACGUUAUGUGGGCACUCCAAGGAGACUGCCGGUGCAAACCGGAGGAAGUGGGGAUGACGUCAAGUCAUCAUGGCCCUUACGGCCUGGGCUACACACGUGCUACAAUGGUCGGUACAAAGGGUUGCCAAGCCGCGAGGUGGAGCUAAUCCCAUAAAACCGAUCGUAGUCCGGAUCGCAGUCUGCAACUCGACUGCGUGAAGUCGGAAUCGCUAGUAAUCGUGAAUCAGAAUGUCACGGUGAAUACGUUCCCGGGCCUU
rnacentral:rRNA from 1 species